rnacentral:rRNA from 1 species
AGUGAACGCUGGCGGCAGGCCUAACACAUGCAAGUCGAACGGCAGCACAGAGGAGCUUGCUCCUUGGGUGGCGAGUGGCGGACGGGUGAGGAAUGCAUCGGAAUCUGCCUAUUUGUGGGGGAUAACGUAGGGAAACUUACGCUAAUACCGCAUACGUCCUACGGGAGAAAGUGGGGGACCGCAAGGCCUCACGCAGAUAGAUGAGCCGAUGCCGGAUUAGCUAGUUGGCGGGGUAAAGGCCCACCAAGGCGACGAUCCGUAGCUGGUCUGGGAGGAUGAUCAGCCACACUGGAACUGAGAUACGGUCCAGACUCCUACGGGAGGCAGCAGUGGGGAAUAUUGGACAAUGGGCGCAAGCCUGAUCCAGCCAUGCCGCGUGUGUGAAGAAGGCCUUCGGGUUGUAAAGCACUUUUGUCCGGAAAGAAAAGCAUUCGAUUAAUACUCGGGUGUUAUGACGGUACCGGAAGAAUAAGCACCGGCUAACUUCGUGCCAGCCGCCGCAGUAACAC